UACGAAGGGGGCUAGCGUUGCUCGGAAUCACUGGGCGUAAAGCGCACGUAGGCGGAUCUUUAAGUCAGGGGUGAAAUCCUGGAGCUCAACUCCAGAACUGCCUUUGAUACUGGGGAUCUCGAGUCCGGAAGAGGUGAGUGGAACUCCGAGUGUAGAGGUGAAAUUCGUAGAUAUUCGGAAGAACACCAAUAGCGAAGGCAGCUCGCUGGGACGUUACUGACACUGAGGCGCGAAAGCGUGGGGAGCGAACAGG
rnacentral:rRNA from 1 species